UUUAAAGAUUGCAGUUAAACAGUCACUGCCCACUCACCUCCGGAAAGGCGGGUGAUCAGCAACUGAAAGUUCUUAAAUGACUGUUAAUCAUUCAUUGGCAGUUAGUAGGCUUAGCCCCACCUCCGUUGCUGGGCAACCUGGCUUAGAAGGCAGCGGCCCCACCUCCUGGGUUCAUAAGCAAAGCCGCUUGAGUGUGGAAAAGAGCAGAGAACAAGAAGACUAUCAAAGGGAGUCUGGGGUUGCUGCUCCCCUUCCGAGUCAGGCAAGAUGGUUAGCUAGGAGCAGGAGUCCCUCUUCUUCAGAGGCUUAGGGCACUCGAUCUCAACAGCUAUCCAAUACAUACAGGGGCCUCAUAGGACAUCUUUGAGAGUCUACAGUAUGCCUCUGGGCUAAGGCUGCUAAGCCUGAAAAGAGCUGGCUCACAGCCACAAUUGAGGGCAGCCUUGGAAGGAAUGCUGGUUCACAACAGUUUGUUCUUGACAUGGAGAUUCAGCAGUGCUUGAAUAUGAUCUAUAAGAAUAGUCUUAAGAUACAGUGGAACCAAAGUUUGUUACAGAAAAUCGGGACCGGGAACAAAGUCCGGAAGUAGAAAGGAGGAAAGGGAACGCAGUUGAAGCACUAGCUUCCAAGAAGUGGGAGUUACUGUACACAAGGCAGCUCAGGUCUCUUGGCAGCCAGAGAGCCUGUCAGAUGAGUAACACUGGUCAAUUUGAUUAGUAGGAUAAAGGUUCUGUACCAUUUAGUUUAAGGAAAGGAGAUCACCCUCUGAGUUCUGAGCAAAGCAUGAACCACAGCUUCUUCCCACCUGCCAUGGCAGUAGUCAGCAUCCAAGGGAACAUUGGCUGCACAGUGACAGUGAGGUUGGGUACCAACAGAAAACUCACAACAGUAAGACGUUUGGUCAAGAGUCAAGGCCCUCAUUACUAAUACCAAACCUCUAGACUUGGGAACACUCCACUGGAGUCACCUCCCUCCUUUUGCCUGCCCUCCCCCACCCCCGGGGCAGGAGGGUGGGAAUUCUAUAUAUUUAAAGCUUUUUUCUUUUGUUUGAAUUUGCAAACUCAAACAAGUUCACCCAUAUGGUUGGGGAUUUAAAACAGUGAAUGCUCUGCUCAAUGCAUUCAUUAUAUGUGAAAAGUUAGGUUGAGAGGUUAUUUUUUUUUUUACCCCCUUUAAGUUGCUGGUCUCGUUUCACAAUUCUUGGUACCUAACACUCCCAAAAAGUGUGUCUUGAUACCAAGGGCCAAGCCCUCCCUGCUUCUGCAUCCAGAAGCUCUUAAAUCUUGUACAAGAUACAUGCUCAAUGAGCCACUGGGAAUUUGAUCCCAGUGGUCAGAGAAGUUAGAAGUGAUAGCCCUGUUAUUCUAUGUUCAGGACCAUCUGUGAUGAGUGGAGGUGGGUACACGUUUUUGUGGAAUUGCUCAUAUACUGGAAGAUCUUCUGGAGAAGGUGGAGUGGAUUAAAAGCCUAAAGUAAUAUAAAUAUGAUAUAAAUAAAAAAUAAGGUCCGGCCAGGGCUUGGGGAGUGUGGGACCCUCUCUGGCAGUUGAUAUAAUAAUGUUCACUGUAAAUAAACUAGCCUUAGCAGGUGACCAGUAAGGGGGUCAAAGAAUACUCAAAGGAUUUGAAAAAGACCAAAUAAAAAGGACAGUUGAAGCGGAAAAAGUACAGGUCUUAAAGAGCAACAGAGAGAGAGGGAGACAAAGCAGUGAGCAAAGAGUGAACAAAGCAGACCAUGUGGAAAUGUCACAAGGGGCAGAUAUACAAGGAAGGCUAGGUUGUCCAGAUACCCACUGCACAUUUUGGUGAUGCUAGGAGCUGUGAACCUUGUUUUUAAGUGUAGUCCAGUGAUUUGAAUUUCCAGUUUUAAAUGCCACUAGCCUAGGCUACCUUUAUGACUCAAGGCACUGAAGCAAGAUGUGUUUACAAAGACCAGGAGAGGGCCUGAGUACAGGUAGCAGAGGAAACCCAGGUUGUGGCCAUGUGAAUGAAAAUGGAAAUAACCCAUUGUAUGGGAUUGGGGGGUUUGGGGGCUGGGAUGGGGGAAGAACUCCAAGAGCAUAGGACGCUAAGAUGACAUUUGGGCGUUUGACAUGGCCAUCCAAUGCCUGAGAAUACAGGGCUAAAUUAGAAACAUUUGAUAAUUCAUUUAUUCAUUCAACACACACUUGUUGGUAACCUCUGGCACAUCCAGCUUUAUGUUGCGUAUCAAAAAUGAUAUAAAAGAUGGGUGGUGCCUCCCUCUGAAGAAUUAAAUGUAGGCUCUCAAAUGAGAAAAGACAGAAGCAAAUGUAGUGGAACUGGCCAGAGGCUGACCACUGGACAAAUGGACUACGGAUCCAGGGGAGGGGCUGUGGAUUCUGUGACUCACCAUCUCUCCAAUGUCUAUAUGGCUGGCCUGAUUUACCACAUGGUAAUCCUCUUCUCUCCUAUUCCACUGUGUCCCUCUGCAAACAGCAGACUCAUCUGAAGAGAAUAGCAUCCUUAGAGGUCACAAGCAUUCUCUGGUCAGCCAGUCUUGAGGAAAACAAGUGGUUCAGAUAACAGCUAUGAUGCAGCUCAUACAAUGAAGGAGCAAUGGGGGAAACUCUCAAAUCCUUCCUUCCUAGGGGAGGGGGAGUGGGCUGGAACCCUACACCAUGUUUUCAUUGGUGGUGUUAGUGGGGAGGUUGUAGAGUAGGUCUGACCACUCAGAGCAGGUCAGACGAUCUUCUUCGUGCUGUGUUCUCUGUCUGGGAUGAAUUUUUUUAUACUGAGCAUCGGAAGGUGAAGAGGAGGGUGGGGAUGAGACUGAGAAUACAGGUGGAUGGAAGAGAGCUGGGCCAGGAGAGGGACAGACAAGUCCAGGACACUCAUGUGAAGCAAAACCCCACAUUUGCACUUGCAAAUGCUUUCUAAGCAACAAGCUAAGGAGAACACUUUUUGUCAAACCUUCCCAGUGACCUCAUCUCACAAAUGGUGUGUGUAUGUGUGUGUGUGAGUUUUAAUUUCUACCACUAAAGUGUAUUUUGGGGGGAUUGUGUGCUUCAGAAUAUCCUUUUUGAACUUGGCUUGAACGCACAGAAUACAGUUUGUACUGUGUAGUGUUCAUGUUAGGCAUGUCAGAGAAAAAGUCAUCACUGUCAAGGGUAACUCUGAAAUCCCACAAGGCUUAAUAACAUUUUAAACUGACAGCAAGCAGUAGGUCUCACACUUCCUUUUUAAAAAAAACAAAAUAUAAUCUUCCCCAACACUUACCUUACUGGUCAUUGCCCCACAGAGACUAAAUUUGUACUGCUGUAACUUUUACUCUCUUCUUGACUGUCUUUGAUGCUGUAGGAAUUUUCUUUGACUUCAUAAAUUGAAGAGACACUGAACAGACUAACUUGGCUGCUUAGUCCCACUUGGCCACCAACAUACGGUAGGAUGAGGAGGCCACUAAUAGGAUCUAUGGUCACCUAUAUGAAUGGUGGCACUCUUCUUUCCCCCGAGUCUGUUGUAUUGAUAAAUACAAUGGCCCAUCUGGCAAGAAGAACUGCUUUGCUUUUGGGUUCCUGGGACUCCCUACAUCAACCGCUGGAUAAGCUCACAGGCAUCUAGUCUCUAAAUAAGGGACUAUGGUUCCCCCAAGGUCUUGUCAAGUGGCUUACUGUUCAUUAUUAAUGGAUCAGAACUCUUAAUGUCUUGAUCACUGAAAAGGUCUCAUCUCAAAGAACUCCCACCUUGCCCCUCUUCAGAUGUAAAUCAGGCCAAACGCUUAAGGCUAUCCUCAACCAGAAAUAGAAAAAGGAUCUUGGUAAUGUAGUUAGGUCCCUAAUGAAGUACUUAAAGUGACUGAAACUUUCAACUAAAAUAUUUAAGUCAACUGAAUGAAUGGCCAUUGGACCCUCUAUGUAGCUCUGGCAAGGGUCACUGGUUUACCAAGGGACAAGAUGAAAGGAGCAGACCUACUCUAGAAAGAGGACGAAUUGGUGCCACCUGGAUGGCCUUGACCCUCUUCUGUCUCAGCAUCCUGUCUACUUCUGCAGAUGCUGGCUCUCCAACCCCAACCACUCCUGGUGCCUGAGGUCUGAGGUAUUCAUGGCGACUGUGUCAAUUUGUCUCUUUGGAUGCAUCAGAUGAUUGGACCUUGUCACAUAGGUUGAAGAUCUUAUUAAUCGUCAAUUUGCUUCUGUGCCUAGGGACCAGAAGAAUCCUGCUUACUUCUGGGCAGGGUGAAUGUGGCAGAUCUCUUCCCUGCCUAAGAGGAGGACUAGUGACAAGGCAGAAGUCAUCUUGGGCCCUCAGGGGUGUCUUGGGGACUAGGGUUCCCUCUUCCCAGUGCUGAAUAAACUCACAGGCAUCCAGCCCCAAGUAAAUUCAGCAAUUUCCCCAAUGCUCUGGUGAGUGAAGCCUUGUCCAGCGUCUGUGCAGCAUCCAAAGCCGCCUUCCUCUGGUGAAGACAGACAUUUGCCUCAACACUUGGGGCUCUUCUCAACUGGCAACAGAGAAGGAUCUCAGUUGCAAACAUGCCCUUUAGUUUCCUGUAUAUGAAAGUUUGGGGGAAACAAUGUAGCUGAAGCAAAAGUCGCUAGUUUCCCUUUCUAGUUUGGAGUCCUUUCUACAAAAAAAAAAUGUCCAGUGUCCCCAACAUCUGUGAGGAAGUCCAACCACUCAUGCACUUGUGCAGUGAUACUAAGGGGACAGGGCAGAGUCGGAACAGGGACAGGUUCAAAGGUGCAUCUGUCUCCUCCUGCUUUGGAUCAGAGUUAGUACGCUGGUCCAGCUGGUGGGAAGAAGCUGUAGGCUGAUGCUGAGUCUCCUGGCCUGUUUUCAAGCUAAGGAUGCCUCCAGUUCAUCCUCUGAGCAACUGCCCCCAGGACCCUUUAAGGAGGUCCAGGUGAGGCUAUAAAGCAUCACUACCUUCCCACUGAGUGUCAGCCACCCCCACACAGGCCAAGCAGCCUGGAGCUGGAGGGCACCCUGAUGCCAUUUUGCUGCCACUUCUCAGCAAACCCCAUGUGACUGAGACAAGGCCUCUGGGAGUGCUCUUCUGAACCCAGAAGGCCAUUAGAUCUAUGGAGUCAAGAACCUAGCCUUGGGAUCUUGUUCACAGAGAAUCAAUCUGAGGCAUCAGUGACUUCAAAAUAGUCUUGAUUUCUUGGGUAUGUGUUGGGAGGUGAUAAGUGGCCUUCUUAGAAGGACUGUGGACAACACACUCUCCUCUUUCUCCCUCUGGAGAAAGAUGCCGAGUCUGGGGAGUGUCUCAUGACUCAGUGAACAUUUGUCCUACAUUGAGAAGCCCCUUCUCCAACUUGAGCCUUCCUGUGCAGCCUCCUGUGCCCUCUGAGGCUGCUUCCUCUGCUAAAACACUGUUUGCUUUGCCAGGGGGCUUUCAUCUCUGUGACCAUCUUCCUUUGAGACAUGCUGCGCUUAUGUUUAGAAUUAGACAGCUUUACCUCCAUCUUCUGUGUGGAGAACUGAGAGAACAUGGUCCUACUAGCCUAUAGUUUUUUUGCACUUGCUGUCUACAUUCUCCAUCUAGGCCUUUUAUUUCUCUAUCCGCUUUUGUUUGGUUGGUGUUUUAUUUUUAUUUUUAUUUUUUUUUGUUUUCUGCCUAAUUAGUCCUCAGUUCAGUUUACACUGCAGCAGCAUGUGAAUAACCACAGGCUAUUGCUGUGGGCUGAGGCCUUAAUUUCUGAAGGAUAUUCUAAAACCCAGGGAGAAAGGUGGCCGGGGUGUGGGAGAGGCAGGGCCUGCCCUGUCAGCUUCUACCUCCAACAAGCUCCACAGUGCCAGAUAACCAAGAAUGUUCUUUUAGCUGGAGUCUGUCCCCUAAAGGGAGAUUGGUCAUGGUGCCUUGGGACUGAAAUUUUUCUCAACUGCUAAUACAUUCCAGAAGUUUCACUGAGGACUACAUGCUCUCUAUUCCACUAGAACAGCACAUUUCUCCCAGAAUCCAGCUUUAUUAUUUUGAAAAAUGUCAACAAAUCAAAAUAGUUAACCACAUUCUGUGGCCUUCAGCCAUAGCCCUGCCUGUCACAUUUCCAAAAGGCCCAGUUAUAUGGGCCCUUUGCUACAUCUACCUCAUGGAGCGUUUCCUGCAACUCUGGGUACAAUACCUUGCACUGCUCUCCCAAGAUUUCCAGACACUGUUUGCUGGUUCUCCUGGGGGCCUCCUGCCUGCCAGCCUUUGAUCUCCACCUGUAUCUGCAGCUCAUCUGGCUUGGAGGAGACCCGUCAACACUAGUCUUUAGGAACUACACAUGUGUCUGUCUUAUUCCUUCUCUGAUCCAUGUAGUUUUCUCUUGAAGAAAUCACACUCAUGCUUCAAGUUCUAGGUCAAAUGGAGAAAACCUCACAUUCACAUUGAAGGUAGUCUUGAUCUCUUCCUAGCAGGGAUGAUCUCCACCCAUUCAAAUCCAUAUUCCCAGGUGCCAAGGCUGGGAGAACUGGAAAGCCCUGAGUUUCUGUCCUGAAAGGCCAGGGUGAGACAGCAAGGGUGUGAGGCCCAGAGAGAAGGCACAGGCACUGUGAAUCCCUGGCAAGGAAUUGUCUACUUCGUAACAGCCAGUGAAGAGCACAGAGCUAGAGUUCCUGGGACCUUUGCAAGUCUUCUAGACUUGAAAGACCCAACCAGAACUGAAGGAGGGAGGGGGGAUCAUGUGGGCCUUUGAGUAUUUGUAACGGUCAUCUCAUUACCACCAACAGGGUCUGUAAGAGGGUAUAGGUGGCUCAAAAAUCUGUGAGAGGAGGGAUGAUCUCCAGGCCCCUGGAACUUCAUUGCUAAUGCCUUCAUGAGCCUUGCUCUAUAUUGAGUGAUGUAUUAUGUUGGAUUUAAACCCACUGGGCCUUCUGCAUCCUCAAUUAGUACAAAGGUCCAAAAUCAUUCCUGGAGACCCCCAUGGUACACUUCAAUUGUCCAAGGACCCCUCAAGUAUUGUUUUCCCUGGUAGGAGGUGGGGAGAAUGAGCCCUUCCCACAAUGAGAAAGUUGAGCAAUCUAGAGAUGUCAGCAGUCAUGAUUAUUCAGUGACCUAUGGCUGCUUCUUAGCCAGUUUCUGGCACACUGUCAACAAUGAACAGCAAGCCCCAACUCUUUCUUACAAAUAGGAUGGUGUUCUUGAUAGUUCAGAUCGCCAAUAACAUUGUAGACAGGCACAAAGAUCCCCUUUAUAUGUAGGUAACUAUGUGGCCCCCACAAUAGUCCUCAGUAUACUUGGGAAAUUGCAAGCCUAUGACUGGCCAGGACACCCAAAUCAGAUGCUGUCAUGCUCUGCCACAAUUUUGUCACCCUUCCAAAAGUCAGUUGUACCAACACUUGACCGCAUUUAGUGUGUUUGGGGGUAAUGGGGGGGCUCUUCAGCUCUGAGCACAGUGCCUUCAUUGUUUUUAAGGUUUUCACUUCCUUUAGACUUGCCCAAAGUCCACAUUCAUAUUGUCUUUGAUUCCCCCUUCCCCUCUCUACAACUUAUCCAGCUUUAAGAUAACCUGGUCACACUUGUUCAUUCACAAUGAUCUUCUACUCGCUACAUGCAGCAUGCUGCUUCUUCUUGUACUCCAUGAGUCCUGCUUGGGAAAUACGUUACUGGCUUGGUCUUAACAUCCAUGAGCUGCAGCAGACCUUGUUAGGGGCCAUGGCCUUGCUCAGAUGGUAUAUCAUAUCAAACUUGGUCCAGGAAGCAGAUAGAGUAUAGGAAGAGUAGAGACUGGCCACAUGAGCUCUAGGACUGCUGUCUCCCAGAUGUUAAGCCAAGUGCAGUGACACAACACUUGGAAUCUUGGUAACUCGAGUUUGAGUCAAGAUUUUUAAAGCUUGUCUCAAAUACAACUCUCUCUCUCUCUCUCUCUCUCUCUCUCUCUUCCUCCCUUCUUCCCUCCCUCCCUUCUCCACUCUCUCUCUCCCCUCUCUGAAAAAGAAAUCACAGUUGCUCAAUUUUUAGAGAACUAUCAUAGGCAUUUAUAACUUGAGGAACACAAGAGAUUGUCAAUCUGUGUGUGGCUGUAAUAGAAAUGAUUCUUGCUUCCUUCCUAGAUUUUGCUGUUCUUCCUUUCUAUAGCAUUAACCACUAUAUUUAGUGACCAUCAGAAACACUUUUAAAGAAAAAAAUUAAAUGUUUAUGUAGUGCAAUGUCCAUGAACAGAGGGAGUCAUGAAAAUUAUGUCCAUGACUGCUUGUUCAAGGUUCCCUGUCUACAUGUGGCAGACAACUUGUCCUGCCCAGGAAGACUCAUCACAACCAUAUUGUCUCCCAUUACAAAGAAGUUUCGGAGGCAAGAUUUUGGUCACUAUAAUGGCAGCAUCCAUGGUAUUCUCCAGACUGUCUGACCAGCUCAUUUUGUAGACAGCAGUAGUACAACUUUGUAACAAAGGCAAGAGGCCAUGUCAUGAAACUAGCUCAGGCCUCCUGCCUGGAGUGCCCCUCACACCCAGGCAACAUGAAAGUUAGAACCUAUGGCUCUAGCAUAGCAUUUCAUGAGAUGUGCGUAUGAAAACACUGGUCCUUCAAGGGCUCCAACACCAAACAUAACCAGACAUGUUCCCUUAGGACUUGAGUUUGGGACACUACAUCCUGGUCCUUUCUGGGCACUACCAUGUUGAAGACCCUGAUGAGCACUGUAGCAAGGACAUGUGCAUGGAUCCAACCUGGUGCUUCCCAGCCCUACUUAAUACAAAGAAUGCUUCUCAUUGGAGACUGACAAAUACUGCAGAAAGCCUGUAUUCUACAAGGAUUGUUCCAAUACUGUCUGAAGCCAACAUUGCAUUUAGCCAUCUGCUUCUCUGACAGGACACCAGCCAUGUCUGAGAGAACACAUCUGGGGAGAAGCUGAUCUGUUUAAAGCUAUGAUUGAUGCCCAAGACAGACAACGCCUCAAUGGAUGGUUAUCAUUUGACUGCUCAUUUGGAUCUAUGGUUCAGGUACAGAACCUGAACCAUAGGUGAUAGGGACCAAAUCCUGGGGCUCAAAAUGCGGGUAAAAAAGGGUCAGUGAGAAUCUCUUACCUCACCCAGAAUCUGAAAAGCCCAAGAAUGGUGAAUGGUGAACAUAAAGGAUACAGGAAAAACAACAGCAUUAAGAAGUCUCUCGCUGGGGGGCUGGAGAGAUGGCUCAGCAGUUAAGAACACUGACUGCUCUUCCAGAGGUCCUGAGUUCAAUUCCCAGCAACCACAUGGUGGCUCACAACCAUCUGUAAUGGGAUCCGAUGCCCUCUUCUGGUGUGUGUGAAGACAGAUACAGUGUACUCAUACAUAAAAUAAAUAAAUAAAUUUAAAAAAAAGAAAUCUCUCUCUCUCUCUCUCUCCCUCUCUCUCCUGUCACUCUCUCUCUCUCUUCCUCUCUCUCCUGUCAUAUUUUCCUGGCAGGCUUUUGUUAAAUGGAGUACAUGUUUUGACACUCUGGAAUGAGACUGAACGUUGCUCCUCGCCCCUUGCUCUGGGUGUAAAAUGAGUGCCCUCUUGGAGGGCAGAGCUGAUGUCUGAUUUCUGAGCACUUAGUGCCAGUCAGUAUUGUCAGAUGGUCAAUGUGCAUUCAAAGCAAUCAAACCAAGUCUGAGGAGAGGCACCAGGAGUGGGGCCAUUACUCUCUGGACCCAGUAUGACCCAUGCAUAUAGCCCAGCAAACCCACAUCCAAGGAAGCAGGGGCGAGGAGAAGAAAGAUGAUACACAGCAGGGCACUGAACGCCAUAAUAAUGGGUAUCCAGGGCCAACAGCAUCUUGGGAGACCUUGGAAUUUGGUAAUACUGACUGCAUUCAGCUGUCUCAUGGCUCACAUCCACAAGGCUCUUCUGAGGUAGGAUUUACUGGUGCUGUGACAUUACAUUCCCAAGCCCGAUCCACUAAAGUGCCUAAACAUGCAUUUCCAGUCCAUGAUUGAUGGGCUGAUGCCAAGUGUUUAGAGAAAAAUGGAGAAGACUACUGAAGCUGCAGUGCAACAGGACAGAGUAGGGACCACCAUCUCCUGUUGAUACACGCAUCCAUGCUCACAGGACCUCAGAUGCCCUCAACUAAUUCUGCUUAGUUCUGUGGCAAUAGUUACCCUGUAACCCAAAUAGCACACAAACCUUUAAGGAAAAAAAACAUUUUAAUACUGGGGACUGAAAAGGGGGGCAGCACAGAAGGGAGGAAAAAGGGAGGCGCAUUUAUGAGCUGUGAAAUCUCAAUACACAUGAGCAUUAGUUCCCACUGCUGGGAGCUCUCCAAAUCUCGUACCUAUUCAUAUAAGGUCAUUGCUCUCAAAUUCCAUGCCCACUUUCAGGAAAAGGAGUAAGAGAAUCAUGAUUUUCCCUGCUUCCUCGAACCCAUCCCUACCUCAGGAGACUAAUGACUUAGACUCCCUUUGUUCUUUUUGGUCAUGAUAGUCAGGUAUACCAUUCAUACAAAACUUAGUAACUUGAGGACCCUGAUGCAACUUUAAAUACACAAGUCAACAUUGCCCUGGCAGGUGGCCUUUCUAAGGGUGUCAAGAUGCUCUAAAGGCUGCUCCUCACCAAGCAACUCACCUACCACUCUCCAUGUCAGCCCUUCCACACUUGCUGUAGAAGCCACCACAGGGUAUGAUGAUAACAAAUGGGGGGGGGGGGGCUCUGUGGAAGGAACCGAUCAUUCCCUAACCACUCCAAUGGCCCUUUGUUUCUAAGGUGUUUUACUUAUCUUUUGUCUGGUUCUAUGAUUGAAUUCUAUGCCAAUAAGGGUUAUUGUUAAUAACUGGGGGGACCCCACCCCCAAUCACCCCGAGGUUAACCACCUUGGACUUUGGCUACUUGUCCCAUGUCUAGAAUAAACACAACAGCAGGGGGAGAAAAUCCUAGAAUAGAAAUGAGCCUCUUAUCUCAUCUGGGAAAAAGGAAGAAACUUCUAAACCCAGACAGCAUAUGCCAAGCUGAAGAGCUCUGUGAAAUUGAGUAGAUGAGGCCUGGGAACCUUGGACAGAUGCUGGGCCUUGGAAGACAAUUGCUGGUGUGUAUUGCACCAUAUCCAAAAUCACAAACCUCUUAGGAUAGGGACUAUGUCUUAUUCACUUCUAUCUCUCUGUGCCUGGCAUACAACAUGUGUUUAAUGAGAAGCAACAAUUGAUGCCCAAGGUCCAGGAGUGGCCAGUAUAAGUGGACGUAGCCUAGACUGCCCCCAUCUCCUGGUGUGCCAGCCUGCACUUACCUACCUAGCCAGGAUGAUCUGACUGUGGUUGGAGGGCAUGUAAACCAGGCCAGUGUUGGAGGGGGUGGGUGUUAGCAAGACUGAGGCUGUGAAAAAGUUUAUUGCAAGCAAUCAGACUUUUUAUACCCUUACCAGAAACAGAAUACAAUGGCCUCUGCCAGGAUACAAUAAUGUCUAAGAUGAAUUAGCCCGCCAAACUACUAUACUGACUUCUCUGACUCGUCCUGAAUGUAAAAAUACACAGGUAGUCUUGAAUGUUUCAUUGCUUGGGGGAAUGCUUCAGUUUCUCAGGAACCAGAAGGCACACAGUGUCCCAGGGGCCAUGGAUUCCAACCUGAAAAACCCAGGAUCUAUGCCUCUCAAGGCAGCCUGACCAGGCCUACACCACAGCUUCCAGAAUUCUGGGGUGGGAAUUUGCCUGAGUAUGAAGUCAGGGUAUCUAAAGAGCCUAAGCAGAAGACAAUUGGCUUCUACUGCUUAAUUCUUUUCUGCUUGCUCGGUACCACCUAGAGACCCUAUACCACUGCCCACAUCUCCAGGAAGAACACAGGACCUUUCACUGGGAGACAAAGCCUCUGUAAAUAUGAUAGCCAAUGGGUAUUAAGUGACCCUGUAUUUUCUGUGGGUAUGUCUUGUCUUCAGAGCUGAUUUGGGGAUUUUCGAGAUUAAGAAAACUGUGGUUUUCAACACAUCACUGCCUCACAGCUUAUGGCACAGGACAGGGCCCAGGCAAGCCUACCACUGUCUCCCAAAUGAACAAAGAGAAUCCUAGACUUCUAUUUACAGUAUCUGCAUCUAUGUGGAGGUCUCCUACCUGGAGGCCUCAGUCAUGAUCCCUGCCUCACAUUUUAGGAACUGGCAUCCUACAGUCAGUUUCUUUUCUAAACCAUAGUGCUAGAAGAGGAGAAACCUAUACUAGCCUUGGAGUUUCAUGUUUGUCUCCUAUGUUCCUAAGAAAUGAUCUAGGAUCGAAUUAGCACUAUGCCCACAGGCUUGAUUUAUUAAAUGACAAUAAACAAGUUACUUUUCAAAGCCAUUGUGAGGCUGUAGUAAUAUGUAUGCAAUGCAUAGCACAUGGUAGGAAUAGACAAAAUACAGCAGGUGCUAACAAGCUUGUCAGUAGACCAAAUAGAGUCAACCAUAUGUGCUCAAUGCUACUGCCCACACUGACUUCCCAAAUUUUACCAUUCCUGCUCCAGGUAAGAUGGGAACAGGCAGGGGACCACUAUAGGCCAGAGAGGCAAAUUGUGUCUCUGGUCUGCAUUCUGUCUACAGUACUGUUGUAGAGCUGAGAUUGAGAACCUGAAACAGUCCUUGCUAACCUCUCACCCAACUCUCUAGGAAGAAAGACACACGGAUAGUGAUUAAGACAAGAGUCAAAGACCAUCCAAGGGCCUGAGAGGGCUUCUUUGUACAAUGUCCCAUUUAAGGAGAGGGUUCUUCAGGGUGUCCACCUUCAAGCCUUAAAAAGCAUUCUUUUCCAACUCCUUUUGAUUAGUCUGGAUAAUUGAGACUGUUUGACAAGAUAAUCUAAACAAAUGAGGUAUCACUACAUAUUCUCAGAUGCUCUAUAAGACACUCUAUGAUUUCUUUUCAAAAUUUGAAUAACUGGAGCUGGGGAGAUGACUUGGCAGUUCAGUGCACUGGCUGCUCUUCCAGAGAAUCCACAUGGCCCACAACUAUAACUCUGGCUCUAGAGAAUCCAACGCCACCUUAUGGCUUCUGCAGGCACCCAAAUACACACACACACAC
ensembl:lncRNA